CACAAGAUGUAGGGUUUGUUCUCGCUGUCACCAGCCUACAAUCUCGUCACCGCCAGCUAGCAGCCUUGCCACCGCCAGCAACCUCGCUGUCUUGCUGCCUCACCACUCCCAUCAACCUCAUUGAUCGCUACCUCGCCAUGCAGCCUCACUAUGCAGCCUGUGCCCAUCAAGCUCGCUGAUCGCUGCCUCACUGUGACUAGCAACC
rnacentral:lncRNA from 1 species